rnacentral:rRNA from 1 species
UACGGGGGGAGCAAGCGUUGUUCGGAUUUACUGGGCGUAAAGGGCGCGUAGGCGGCGGGGUAAGUCGGGUGUGAAAUCUCAGAGCUCAACUCUGAAACUGCACUCGAUACUGCUCUGCUUGAGGACUGGAGAGGAGACUGGAAUUCACGGUGUAGCAGUGAAAUGCGUAGAUAUCGUGAGGAAGACCAGUGGCGAAGGCGGGUCUCUGGACAGCUCCUGACGCUGAGGCGCGAAGGCCAGGGGAGCAAACGGG